UAUUUAUACAUUUUGGUAUUUGUAGCACUUCUGAAUUUAAAGGGCAUUCCCAGUGUUUGUGUUUGAAAACUUAGGCUUUAUCUUGAAGGGCCACUGUAAAUUGCAGAAGUCAGUAAGAUUCUCUCUCUUGGUUUACUUUGUUUCACCCACUCCUCUAACACAAGUCAUCUCUCUCCUACUUCUCUGUUCUCCAGGCGCUAGUUUACUACACUGAGAGUUUAAAAAGCACCGAUGUUCAAAUCCAACAGGGCUCCUGUCUAGCACUUAAAUACCUCAGGGCGACAGAGAGCGUGGAUCACAUAGCAGAUUUGUACAGAUCAGCAGAUGAAGAUCUUCGCAGCGCUGCCAGAGAGACGGUCCUCUCCUUUGGUAAAAAGGGCUACCUGGCCUUCCAGAGGAUGGACCAGCUUUACGCUGACAUGCAGGAGGAGGCGUACCAGAACCAAGAGACUGAGAUUACAAUUCUAUAGGAAACAAGUAUGGUCUCUUAUUCUGACGGAGCCCAACAAGAGGAGAUUCAUCUGAGAUGAACAACGUGUACGUCCCCAUGCUAAAGGUGAACGCCAGGGGUGAGAGCAGCGUCCGGUCCAAGGAUGGCGACGCCUGCUUCUCUGGAUGGAUCACACACUCCGUGAGGUUUAGGCUUUUUCCCAAAGUUUGCUUCAUCCUGUGGACACCGACGUGACUCUAGCCAAAAAUUAGAAUUUAUUUUGGUGAAAUAUGCAAAUGUGCAGUGUUUGAGUUCAAGACAAAGGAGUGCUGUUUUGUAUUUAGGUACUGUUAUGUAUUUAAUCUGAGAACAUGGGUGUG